GACCUCGGAUCAGACGUGAGUACCCGCUGAACUUAAGCAUAUCACUAAGCGGAGGGAAAAGAAACUAACCCCGGAUCCCAAA
rnacentral:rRNA from 1 species